rfam:Trachymyrmex zeteki contig7894, whole genome shotgun sequence.
AAAACGGCCCUUUUCAGGGCCACCAAUUGUCUCGUAACAUUGAAU